AAAGGUAACUGUGAUUUUUGCU
rnacentral:miRNA from 1 species